rnacentral:rRNA from 1 species
GACGAACGCUGGCGGCGUGCUUAACACAUGCAAGUCGAACGAUGAACCCGGAGCUUGCUCCGGCGGAUUAGUGGCGAACGGGUGAGUAACACGUGAGUAACCUGCCCUUGACUCUGGGAUAACUGCUAGAAAUGGUAGCUAAUACCGGAUACGACCCUCGGUGGCAUCACCAGGGGGUGGAAAGAAUUUCGGUCAAGGAUGGACUCGCGGCCUAUCAGCUAGUUGGUGAGGUAACGGCUCACCAAGGCGACGACGGGUAGCCGGCCUGAGAGGGUGACCGGCCACACUGGGACUGAGACACGGCCCAGACUCCUACGGGAGGCAGCAGUGAGGAAUUUUCCGCAAUGGGCGAAAGCCUGACGGAGCGACGCCGCGUGAAGGAUGAAGCUUUUCGGAGCGUAAACUUCUUUUAUGUGGGAAGAUUAUGACUGUACCACAUGAAUAAGCACCGGCUAACUAUGUGCCAGCCGCCGCAGUAA